rnacentral:rRNA from 1 species
AGUAUCCAUUGGAGGGCAAGUCUGGUGCCAGCAGCCGCGGUAAUUCCAGCUCCAAUAGCGUAUAUUAAAGUUGUUGCGGUUAAAAAGCUCGUAGUUGGAUUUGUGUCCCACGCUGUCGGUUCAUCGCUCGUCGGUGUCUAACUGGCAUGGUUCGUGGGACGUCCUGCCGGUGGUGGCGAGUCGAAAGCGUGCGGCCGCCGUGGUUAGCCCGCGUGCGGUUCCUGCGCGCCGUAGACGGACCCCGAUGAAAUCCUACCGCGGUGCUCUUCAUCGAGUGUCGAGGUGGGCCGGCACGUUUACUUUGAACAAAUUAGAGUGCUUAAAGCAGGCCGGCUGCGCCUGAAUACUGUGUGCAUGGAAUAAUGGAAUAGGACCUCGGUUCUAUUUUGUUGGUUUUCGGAACCCGAGGUAAUGAUUAAUAGGGACAGGCGGGGGCAUUCGUAUUGCGACGUUAGAGGUGAAAUUCUUGGAUCGUCGCAAGACGGACCGAAGCGAAAGCAUUUGCCAAGUAUGUUUUCAUUAAUCAAGAACGAAAGUUAGAGGUUCGAAGGCGAUCAGAUACCGCCCUAGUUCUAACCAUAAACGAUGCCAGCUAGCGAUCCGCCGAAGUUCCUCCGAUGACUCGGCGGGCAGCUCCCGGGAAACCAAAGCUUUUGGGUUCCGGGGGAAGUAUGGUUGCAAAGCUGAAACUUAAAGGAAUUGACGGAAGGGCACCACCAGGAGUGGAGCCUGCGGCUUAAUUUGACUCAACACGGGAAACCUCACCAGGCCCGGACACCGGAAGGAUUGACAGAUUGAGAGCUCUUUCUGAUUCGGUG